rnacentral:rRNA from 1 species
UCGGGAAUUUUGGGCAAUGGGCGAAAGCCUGACCCAGCAACGCCGCGUGAAGGAUGAAAUCCCUCGGGAUGUAAACUUCGCAAGAAUGGGAAGAAGGUUGGAGGGUAAUAACCCCUUUUAAUUUGACGGUACCAUUUGUAAGCUCCGGCUAACUCCGUGCCAGCAGCCGCGGUAAUACGGGGGGAGCAAGCGUUGUUCGGAUUUACUGGGCGUAAAGGGCGCGUAGGCGGCCACGACAAGUCAGUUGUGAAAUCUCUGGGCUUAACUCAGAACGGUCAACUGAUACUGUCGGGCUAGAGUGCAGAAGGGGCAACUGGAAUUCUCGGUGUAGCGGUGAAAUGCGUAGAUAUCGAGAGGAACACCUGCGGCGAAGGCGGGUUGCUGGGCUGACACUGACGCUGAGGCGCGAAAGCUAGGGGAGCGAACGG